rnacentral:rRNA from 1 species
UGGGGGAUAUUGCACAAUGGGCGAAAGCCUGAUGCAGCGACGCCGCGUGGGGGAUGAAGGCUUUCGGGUUGUAAACCUCUUUCGCUAUCGAACAAGGCCCGCUUAGGGUGGGUUGAGGGUAGGUGGAGAAGAAGCGCCGGCUAACUACGUGCCAGCAGCCGCGGUAAUACGUAGGGCGCGAGCGUUGUCCGGAAUUAUUGGGCGUAAAGGGCUUUUAGGCGGCUUGUUGCGCCUGCUGUGAAAACGCGGGGCUUAACUUCGCGCGUGCAGUGGGUACGGGCAGGCUUGAGUGUGGUAGGGGUGACUGGAAUUCCAGGUGUAGCGGUGGAAUGCGCAGAUAUCUGGAGGAACACCGAUGGCGAAGGCAGGUCACUGGGCCAUUACUGACGCUGAGGAGCGAAAGCAUGGGUAGCGAACAGG